ensembl:lncRNA
AAAAGACUUAAAACGUUUUUGUUUUGUUUUAUUUAGAAAUAGACGAGUCCCAACACAUUUAACUGUUGUCAGAUGUGCUAUAGUGUUUCUAGCCUGAGCUAAUUUACAACACCUGGUUGUUAUGGAAACAAAAGGAAAGAAAGACAGCAUCAACUGAUAAUCAAAUCAAACUUUAUUAGUCACAUGAAUACAGGUGUAGAACCUUACAGUGAAAUGCUGAAUACAACAGGUGUAGUAGACCUCACAGUGAAAUGCUGAAUACAACAGGUGUAGUAGACCUUACAGUGAAAUGCUGAAUACAACAGGUGUAGAACCUUACAGUGAAAUGCUGAAUACAACAGGUGUAGAAGACCUUACAGUGAAAUGCUGAAUACAACAGGUGUAGUAGACCUGACAGUGAAAUGCUGAAUACAACAGGUGUAGUAGACCUCACAGUGAAAUGCUGAAUACAACAGGUGUAGUAGACCUCACAGUGAAAUGCUGAAUACAACAGGUGUAGUAGACCUCACAGUGAAAUGCUGAAUACAACAGGUGUAGUAGACCUCACAGUGAAAUGCUGAAUACAACAGGUGUAGAACCUUACAGUGAAAUGCUGAAUACAACAGGUGUAUAACCUUACAGUGAAAUGCUGAAUACAACAGGUGUAGUAGACCUCACAGUGAAAUGCUGAAUACAACAGGUGUAGUAGACCUCACAGUGAAAUGCUGAAUACAACAGGUGUAGUAGACCUUACAGUGAAAUGCUGAAUACAACAGGUGUAGAACUUACAAGCACUUAACCAACAAUGCAGAAAAUACCACAAAAGUAAGAGAUAAGAAUAACACAUUAAAGAUCAGCAGUAAAUAACAAUAGUGGGGCAAUAUACAGGGUAUUACGGUACAGAGACAAUGUGGAGGCUAUAUACAGGGUAUUACGGUACAGAGUCAAUGUGGAGGCUAUACACAGGGUAUUACGGUACAGAGUCAAUGUGGAGGCUAUACACAGGGGGGUACCGGUACAGAGUCAAUGUGGAGGCUAUAUACAGGGUGUUACGGUACAGAGUCAAUGUGGAGGCUAUAUACAGGGGGUACCGGUACAGAGUCAAUGUGGAGGCUAUAUACAGGGUAUUACGGUACAGAGUCAAUGUGGAGGCUAUACACAGGGGGGUACCGGUACAGAGUCAAUGUGGAGGCUAUAUACAGGGUGUUACGGUACAGAGUCAAUGUGGAGGCUAUAUACAGGGUAUUACGGUACAGAGUCAAUGUGGAGGCUAUAUACAGGGGUUACCGGUACAGAGUCAAUGUGGAGGCUAUAUACAGGGGUACUGGUACAGAGUCAAUGUGGAGGCUAUAUACAGGGUGUUACGGUACAGAGUCAAUGUGGAGGCUAUAUACAGGGGUUACCGGUACAGAGUCAAUGUGCGGUUAGUAGAUAGGUAAUUAUGUAAUUGAGGUUUUCAACCUCACACUUUGGGCUGGAUGUUUCAGUAUGUAGUUAAUUCAUGCAUAAUCACUGUCUUACCUCAAAAAUCCACAAAAAGUUGGAAAGCGACAAUUUGUUGAAACUGUGCCGCGCCAUUUCCCCUCCAUUUCCCUGGCAAUUAGAGUUCUAUCUCAUGAGCUUCAGCCACUCGUAUUUGAGUGACAGCUUGCAAGAAGCCAGCCCAGGGUUAUCCAAUGAGGUUGCAGGGCGCGCCACAGCAGAGAGAGAGAUGACGUGGUGAACAUAUGUGAUGUAGUACAACAUUUUCAGGGACCACUUUUGACUUGUGAGUGUUACUAUCAGCACUACUGGCUAAAAAGUACACAAAAAGUAGCAGAGAAUCUCUUUAAUGAGUCUGUUGACUGUAGUUUAUACAUGAUCGGACUGUUCCAGCUGGAACAACUAGUUUGUUGUGUGUCUUUUGUAUUAAAAUGUUCCAUCAGUUUAUGUUCCACAUUAUCCUGUUAUUAUACAACAUUAUCUUCACCAGAUCUCAAACCAGCCUUCUACAUUGUCACAUUAUAGUGUCAUUAUACAACAUUAUCUUCACCAGAUCUCAAACCAGCCUUCUACAUUGACCAUAUUAUCCUGUUAUUAUACAACAUUAUCUUCACCAGAUCUCAAACCAGCCUUCUACAUUGUCACAUUAUAGUGUCAUUAUACAACAUUAUCUUCACCAGAUCUCAAACCAGCCUUCUACAUUGACCAUAUUAUCCUGUUAUUAUACAGCAUUAUCUUCACCAGAUCUCAAACCAGCCUUCUACAUUGACCACAUUAUCCUGUUAUUAUACAACAUUAUCUUCACCAGAUCUCAAACCGGCCUUCUACAUUGUCACAUUAUAGUGUCAUUAUACAACAUUAUCAUCACCAGAUCUCAAACCAGCCUUCUACAUUGUCACAUUAU